GGGGAAGGUCGGGCAACGUCUGCCGGCGGCGGGGCACCAGGAGGGCCUCGAGGCCCGGCGGGGUCGAGGUUCGGAGUUGGCGGGUCCGAGGCCCCGCCCAAGAUGCGGAAUCAGAAGCUCAGAGAGGUGAAAUGACCUCACUGAGGCCGCACAACUCCUAAUUUGGGCUGUGACUGAAUUGGAAAGCUGGAGUGUCUGGGUCCAAAUCCGUGCCAAGUUCCGGGAAACAGCAGGAGGGGAAAGUUAACAGGCCACUGGAGCGACGGGCUAUUUGGAAGUGAAA